rnacentral:rRNA from 1 species
UGCCAGUAGCCGCGGUAAUACGGAGGGGGUUAGCGUUGUUCGGAAUUACUGGGCGUAAAGCGCACGUAGGCGGAUUAGUAAGUAAGGGGUGAAAUCCCAGGGCUCAACCCUGGAACUGCCUCUUAAACUGCUAGUCUUGAGUUCGAGAGAGGUAAGUGGAAUUCCAAGUGUAGAGGUGAAAUUCGUAGAUAUUUGGAGGAACACCAGUGGCGAAGGCGGCUUACUGGCUCGAAACUGACGCUGAGGUGCGAAAGUGUGGGGAGCAAACAGGAUUAGAUA